CCUACGGGAGGCAGCAGUGAGGAAUAUUGGUCAAUGGGCGAGAGCCUGAACCAGCCAAGUCGCGUGAGGGAGUACUGCCCUAUGGGUUGUAAACCUCUUUUGUCGGGGAGCAAAAGCCGGACGUGUCCGGCUGUGAGAGUACCCGAAGAAAAAGCAUCGGCUAACUCCGUGCCAGCAGCCGCGGUAAUACGGAGGAUACGAGCGUUAUCCGGAUUUAUUGGGUUUAAAGGGUGCGCAGGCGGAUUUUUAAGUCAGCGGUAAAAUCGUGGGGCUCAACCCCAUCCAGCCGUUGAAACUGGGGAUCUAGAGUGUGCGAGAGGUAUGCGGAAUGCGUGGUGUAGCGGUGAAAUGCAUAGAUAUCACGCAGAACCCCGAUUGCGAAGGCAGCAUACCGGUGCACAACUGACGCUCAGGCACGAAAGCGUGGGUAUCGAACAGGAUUAGAUACCCUAGUAGUC
rnacentral:rRNA from 1 species